rnacentral:rRNA from 1 species
GACGAACGCUGGCGGCGUGCUUAACACAUGCAAGUCGAACGGUGAAGCGCCUUCCUUUUUGGUGGGUGUGGAUGAGUGGCGAACGGGUGAGUAACACGUGAGUAACCUGCCCCCUUCUUCUGGAUAACCGCAUGAAAGUGUGGCUAAUACGGGAUAUUCUGGGUCUGUCGCAUGAUGGGUCUGGGAAAGAUAUUGUUUCGGUGGGGGAUGGGCUCGCGGCCUAUCAGCUUGUUGGUGGGGUGAUGGCCUACCAAGGCGGUGACGGGUAGCCGGCCUGAGAGGGUGGACGGUCACACUGGGACUGAGACACGGCCCAGACUCCUACGGGAGGCAGCAGUGGGGAAUAUUGCACAAUGGGCGCAAGCCUGAUGCAGCGACGCCGCGUGAGGGAUGGAGGCCUUCGGGUUGUGAACCUCUUUCGCCAGUGAAGCAGGCCUGCCUCGUUUGUGGGUGGAUUGACGGUAGCUGGAUAAGAAGCGCCGGCUAACUACGUG